rnacentral:misc_RNA from 1 species
UUUAGUAUCCUUUUUUCCAAAAGUGAAGCGUCAACUGAUGUAAGGUAAUGUACUAUACACUGCAAUGAAUUUUUCAACUGUAUAUUGGUACUCGUUUUAUAAAAUACAUGGAAUAAUGGACUAAGUUGUAUUGUAAUGUAAAGGUCGUAUCUGAUUUAAUUAUUUAAAGCCCAUGCACAACACGUGUAGUACUAUAUAUUUACUCUACGAUAUCGCCUUAACUUUCCUCUAGAUGUAUUUUUAGUUGGGUUUUUAUCCAUCUCUGCGUACACUUUCUAUGUGUUUGUGCCAGCGCAUGUUGUCCAGAUUUAUGAGCUAAUUUUUGGACUUCGACAAGUACCUGCUGCGACAUAAAGUGAAGCAACCACACUACGAAAUAAACUACAAGUCCGAGCUAAUUGUCUUGCCAGUUUGUCGUAUGAGAGACCCACACCAGGAAAUGGCGAUAUGCAGGACAUCUUGUACCUCCGGGUGUCAAUUACAUUGUUUUAAUGGAAUUUACCUUCACGAGAAAUUUCCUGGAAAAAAAUUAGUCGUCACUUUGUAAUGUUCAGUGAAUGUUGUUGACAUGUUUUAUUUUGACAAAUAACAGAGAUAUGUCACUUGUUGAUUGAUGAUCUUGUUUUGAAAUAAAUUGCAACAUUUAUUUAU